GGACCCAUAGCUCAGUUGGUUAGAGCGUCGUACUCAUAAUACGAAGGGCGAGAGUUCGACCCUCUCUGGGGCCA
rnacentral:tRNA from 1 species